rnacentral:misc_RNA from 1 species
CGUCACUUUUUGUUUAAUGAAAAUGGAUGAAAAUGAGUCACAAAAGUAUUUGUGAUUUACAAACGACGUUUAAUUAAAUCUAUUCUAAACGUUUUAUUAUUAUCUGUAUCCCGGAAAAGCAGUAGAUAUGUUCUCCAGUGGUCCAAACUAUACAAAGUUAAAGACGAAUCUUCGUCUCGCUUUGAAUAGGCUUAAAUUAUUGGAAAAAAAGAAGGCUGAACUAGCGCAGAAGGCACGAAAGGAAAUUGCAGAUUACUUGGCCACUGGGAAAACGGAGCGGGCCCGCAUUCGAGUAGAGCACAUUAUACGUGAGGAUUAUCUUGUGGAAGCUAUGGAAAUAAUUGAAAUGUACUGUGACCUCCUCUUGGCCCGUUUCGGUUUAAUUACGCAGAUGAAAGAAUUAGAUGAUGGCAUUGCUGAGGCAGUAUAUAGUUUAGUGUGGGUGUGCCCGCGCCUGCAAAGUGAUGUGGCCGAACUCAAAGUGAUUUCCGAUAUUUUCAUUACUAAAUACGGGCCUCAAUUUGCCGAGCAUUCCCGUACUGCAACGGGAGAGCAUCAAGUAUCUGGAAAAUUGAUGAAUAAACUCCAGCUUCAAGCUCCGCCUAAACUUUUAGUGGAAAAGUAUUUAAUCGAAAUAGCUAAAAAUUAUAAUAUCGAGUAUGAGCCCGACCCACAAGUAAUGCAAGAGGAAAAGGCCAACAGCGAUCAACCACAGGCACAUUUAAUUGAUUUAUCAGACCGAAAUAACUUGGGAGGUGGUGGUGGAGUAGGUCCACCACCUCAAAUGGGUUUUAUUGGCUACCCCUCACUUCCUCCUCUGCCAGACCCUCCAGCAGCAAAGCCAUUCAAUUAUCCACCACCUUACGGUCCAGGGCCGGGAUCUGGUGGUGGUGGAUCUGCAGCGUCUGGAGCCACUCCACCACAGCCGUUUGCCUAUAAUAUACCACCAGCUCAAUCCAAUUAUGAGCAUAAAGAUUUAAAUACUUCUUUCAUAAAUGAAGAAUCGUCAACGGCAUCCGGUAUUAACAGUGAAAGCGGUAGCCCAGAUGAAAAUAUCUUGUUAAUGUAUGAAUAUGUUCGUAGAUUUCUUCAGCAAAUUCUUAGUACCUAUACGUCCAUGAAUACAAACAUAAAAACUGUUUUUUCUCAUUAUAAUGUGCUGCGUUAAAAUCUUCAUACGUUCCAAUAUUUGGCCAUCUCUUCCGACCUAAACAGUACGAUGAUCCCCCGCCGCGAUACUCAUCAAUUAAUCCCUUUAAUAUUCAGGAUAAAAAUAAACCUAAACCGCAGCCACGGCAAAAAUUGCCCCCACCAGGUCCAAGCGCUCCACCAGUUUUACCAGAUAUACCAAAUUUGCCAAACGUUCCAAGUGAUUUGCCGGAGUUCCCGGCGGAGGAACCAAAGUCAAAUAAUACUGAUAAUGAUGAUAUAGACUUUGAUGAUCUAUCGCGUCGUUUUGAAAAU